UGCGUAGGCGGCUUCUUAAGUCAGUGGUGAAAUCCUGCGGCUCAACCGUAGAACUGCCAUUGAAACUGAGGAGCUUGAAUUUAGUUGAGGUAGGCGGAAUGAGUAGUGUAGCGGUGAAAUGCUUAGAUAUUACUCAGAACACCGAUUGCGAAGGCAGCUUACUAAACUAACAUCGACGCUGAUGCACGAAAGCGUGGGGAGCGAACAGGAUUAGAUACCCUGGUAGUC
rnacentral:rRNA from 1 species